UGGGGAAUCUUGGACAAUGGGGGCAACCCUGAUCCAGCCAUGCCGCGUGAGUGAUGAAGGCCUUAGGGUCGUAAAGCUCUUUCGCCUGUGAAGAUAAUGACGGUAGCAGGUAAAGAAACCCCGGCUAACUCCGUGCCAGCAGCCGCGGUAAUACGGAGGGGGUUAGCGUUGUUCGGAAUUACUGGGCGUAAAGCGCACGUAGGCGGACCAGAAAGUUGGGGGUGAAAUCCCGGGGGCUCAACCCCGGAACUGCCUCCAAAACUAUUGGUCUAGAGUUCGAGAGAGGUGAGUGGAAUUCCAAGUGUAGAGGUGAAAUUCGUAGAUAUCAGGAGGAACACCAGUGGCGAAGGCGGCUACCUGGACCAGUUCUGACGCUGAGGCGCGAAAGCG
rnacentral:rRNA from 1 species